rnacentral:rRNA from 1 species
CACGUAGGGUCCGAGCGUUGUCCGGAAUUACUGGGCGUAAAGCGCGCGCAGGCGGCCCGACACAUCGGCGGUGAAAGCCCCCCGCUUAACGGGGGAGGGUCCGUCGUGAUGGUCGGGCUGGAGGCAGGGAGAGGGCGGUGGAAUUCCGGGUGUAGUGGUGAAAUGCGUAGAUAUCGCUUGGAACGCCGAAGGUGAAAACAGGUUGCUGGGGUUGUGCCGACGCUGAGACACGAAAGCCAGGGGAGCAAACGGG